GCAGUGGUGGUUCAAUGGUAGAAUUCUCACCUUCCAUGUGGGAGACCCAAGUUCCAUUCCAGCUGAUGCA
rnacentral:tRNA from 1 species